AGGACGAACGCUGGCGGCGUGCUUAACACAUGCAAGUCGAGCGGAAAGGCCCUUCGGGGUACUCGAGCGGCGAACGGGUGAGUAACACGUGAGUAAUCUGCCCCUAGCUCUGGGAUAGCUCCGGGAAAACCGGGAUUAAUACCAGAUACGACCACUUUAGACAUCUGUUGUGGUGGAAAGAAUUUUGGCUAGGGAUGAGCUCGCGGCCUAUCAGCUUGUUGGUGAGGUAACGGCUCACCAAGGCGACGACGGGUAGCCGGCCUGAGAGGGCGACCGGCCACGACUGGGACUGAGACACGGCCCAGACUCCUACGGGAGGCAGCAGUGGGGAAUAUUGCACAAUGGGCAAAGCCUGAUGCAGCGACGCCGCGUGAGGGAUGACGGCCUUCGGGUUGUAAACCUCUUUCAGCAGGGACGAAGCGAAAGUGACGGUACCUGCAGAAGAAGCACCGGCCAACUACGUGCCAGCAGCCGC
rnacentral:rRNA from 1 species